rnacentral:rRNA from 1 species
CGCGGCCUAUCAGCUUGUUGGUGGGGUAAUGGCCUACCAAGGCGACGACGGGUAGCCGGCCUGAGAGGGUGACCGGCCACACUGGGACUGAGACACGGCCCAGACUCCUACGGGAGGCAGCAGUGGGGAAUAUUGCACAAUGGGCGCAAGCCUGAUGCAGCGACGCCGCGUGAGGGAUGACGGCCUUCGGGUUGUAAACCUCUUUCAGCCUUGACGAAGCCUUUUGGGGUGACGGUAGGGGCAGAAGAAGCACCGGCUAACUACGUGCCAGCAGCCGCGGUAAUACGUAGGGUGCGAGCGUUGUCCGGAAUUAUUGGGCGUAAAGAGCUUGUAGGCGGUUUGUCGCGUCUGCUGUGAAAGCCCGGGGCUUAACUCCGGGUCUGCAGUGGGUACGGGCAGGCUAGAGUGUGGUAGGGGAGACUGGAAUUCCUGGUGUAGCGGUGGAAUGCGCAGAUAUCAGGAGGAACACCGAUGGCGAAGGCAGGUCUCUGGGCCAUGACUGACGCUGAGAAGCGAAAGCGUGGGGAGCGAACAGGAUUAGAUACCCUGGUAGUCCACGCCGUAAACGUUGGGCGCUAGGUGUGGGUCCCAUUCCACGGGGUCCGUGCCGCAGCUAACGCAUUAAGCGCCCCGCCUGGGGAGUACGG